UGCUCGGCGGUGUGGCGCGGCGGGCAGCGAGCCGAUGUUUACGCGGACGCCGUUAGGGCAGAGGGUGAAAAAGUACGUGUUGGCGUCGCGACGCCGCACACCGAUCCCACCCUAAAUGUGCGCGCAGCUCGCGCACGCCGCGCUGGAGGGUUUUUAGAGAGCGAGCGAUGCAUGCUACACAGCUGUGUGUUCAAACGCAUACGCAGUGCGAUUACUCAUCGUGCAGAGUUCCAGAUUCACCCUUUAGAGGGAGACCCUUUUAUAAAAAAUCAAAAUACCACGAGUCAUAUUAUUCUAGGACUUGUUUCAACUUAUUUUUUUAAGGAAAAAGUUAAACAAACAUAACCACAGCUAACAAGAGUUAAAAUAAUGUUAUUAUAUCUAUUAUCACGUAAUUAUCAAAAUGACUCAUCUAAAAUUGAUGGGAUUAAGCAAAUGGAAGCUAAAAUAAUAUUUGAAAUGAUAUAAGAUCUUCCUACCUUUAGUUAUGAUUUAUGUUUUAAGUUUCAUAGUAAACUUUUGUGUUUGCGCAGUAACAGCGCCUGAGUGUCAGCACGCGCAACUAAAAUUAGCAAAGAAACAAAAGCAAACUGCAGUUUGCCUUGCCCGUAACCCGUGCACACUGCAUUUGCACCGCAUUUUCUUCAUCGGUAGCAGCGCUAUCUUGGCGACUCUAAACAUAAAACCGAAAACAGACGCACGCAUAAUCUAAACAAGUAACUUGAACUCACCGUGUAUACACUAGUUCAAUGUGAUAACUCGCUUAGCAUAUUAUUUAUAAACAAUCAAUGCGUUGUUGCACUUUGCGUGCACGAACAUAUUUUAGAAACAAACACAUUUUACGACUAUAUUGCAAACCAGCGCCACACAUACAUAUCAUAUGUUGUUAUUAUUAUUAUUAUUUAUAUCGUAACUAGAUAAAAUUGUACAAUGUAUACCUCUUUGUUAUCAGUGUCGUAAUAAAUUAAAGAUGUGUUGGAGAGCACAAACCAUC